AUUGAACGCUGGCGGCAGGCUUAACACAUGCAAGUCGAACGAGUGGCGGACGGGUGAGUAAUGCUUGGGAAUCUAGCUUAUGGAGGGGGAUAACUACUGGAAACUGUAGCUAAUACCGCGUACCAUAGGAUGAGCCCAAGUGGGAUUAGGUAGUUGGUGAGGUAAAGGCUCACCAAGCCGGCGAGCACUAGCUGGUCUGAUGGGUGGACCAGCCCCGCUGGGCCAGAGAAACGGGCAAGACUCCUACGGGGGACAGCAGUGGGGAAUAUUGCGCAAUGGGGGCAACCUGACGCAGCCAUGCCGCGUGAAUGGAGAAGGCCUUCGGGGUGUAAAAUUCUUUAGGUAGCGAAGCGUUACCUACAGAAGAAGCACGGGCUAACUCCGUGCCAGCAGCCGCGGUAAUAC
rnacentral:rRNA from 1 species